GGAGAAGUGCCAGAGUGGUCGAAUGGGACUGACUCGAAAUCAGUUGUGGGGGUAACUCCACCGGGGGUUCGAAUCCCUCCUUCUCCGCCA
rnacentral:tRNA from 3 species